CCUACGGGUGGCAGCAGUGAGGAAUAUUGGUCAAUGGGCGCGAGCCUGAACCAGCCAAGUAGCGUGAAGGAUGACUGCCCUACGGGUUGUAAACUUCUUUUAUAAAGGAAUAAAGUGAGGCUCGUGAGCCUUUUAGUAUGUAUUUUAUGAAUAAGGAUAGACCAACUCCGUGCAAGCAACGCCGGGAAUAUGGAGAAUCUGAGCGUUAUCCGGGUUUUUUUGGUUUAAAGGGAGCGGAGAGGGGUGGUUUAGGGAGUUGUGAAAGUUUGCGGCUCAACCGUAAAAAUGAAAUUGAUACUGGCAUGCUUGAGGACAGUUGAGGUAUGCGGAAUGCGUGGUGUAGCGGUGAAAUGCAUAGAUAUCACGAAGAACUCCGAUUGCGAAGGCAGCCUACUAAACUGCCACUGACAUUGAUGCUCGAAAGUGUGGGUAUCAAACAGGAUUAGAUACCCUAGUAGUC
rnacentral:rRNA from 1 species